rnacentral:sRNA from 1 species
AGCCAUUACAUUUUCUUCUCGAGUUGAU